rnacentral:rRNA from 1 species
UGGGGAAUAUUGCGCAAUGGGGGAAACCCUGACGCAGCGACGCCGUGUGAGGGAAGAAGGCUUUCGGGUCGUAAACCUCUGUCAGGAAGGAAGAACCUCUCAAGGCUGAACAAGCCUUGGGACUGACGGUACUUCCAGAGGAAGCACCGGCUAACUCCGUGCCAGCAGCCGCGGUAAUACGGAGGGUGCAAGCGUUAAUCGGAAUCACUGGGCGUAAAGCGCGCGUAGGCCGUCUUUUAAGUCGGACGUGAAAGCCCUCGGCUCAACCGGGGAACUGCGUUCGAUACUGGGAGACUGGAGUCCUGGAGAGNGUGGCGGAAUUCCGGGUGUAGGAGUGAAAUCCGUAGAUAUCCGGAGGAACACCGGUGGCGAAGGCGGCCACCUGGACAGGUACUGACGCUGAGG